CAGUCUUUUACCUUUUGCCACAACAACAUGCUGGAGAGGCAGAACGGAUAGAGCAGAUCACUAAAAGACAGUGUUACAGGGAGGAACGUGCAUGUUGAGAAUACAGAGAGCAAAAACAGAAUCAUUGGGUUGUGGAGAAAUAAAGAAAUAACCAGAGAGGAACUAUCUGAUCCUGUAAGCGUGGUCUGGAUAUGGGAGCAGAGUGGACCCACAGGCUCAGAAACAGAUAAGGGAAUCCCCCUCUGUUUCCAAAACGCCAUGGAAACACUAAGAGACAUCAGGCAAGCCUACCGGGACGCAGGGAGGGGAAGCAGAGGAGGAUUGUCUUUGCCAAGCCUGGGCGACAGCAGCAGACGCUGGAGCCAUCUGGACCCUGCUCCCUCACCUGGUUUGCUGAGUACCAGGACCUCUUGUAUGCCAGUAGCCCCUAAACACAGGCAGAGUGUGGUUACUGCAUCCCCAUCCUCCUCUAGCCUGCUUUCUGUGGCUGAGCCCAGCCAGCUCAGCCAAUCAGCACCCAUCAUCAUGGAACCCCUGCUGUGUUCAAACACUAUGAUCCAGGCCAGAGCACACAUUCAGAUACGUAUGUAAAUGCAGUUAUU
rnacentral:lncRNA from 1 species